rnacentral:rRNA from 1 species
CAUUGAACGCUGGCGGCAUGCCUUUACACAUGCAAGUCGAACGGCAGCACGGGAGCAAUCCUGGUGGCGAGUGGCGAACGGGUGAGUAAUGUAUCGGAACGUACCUUUCAGUGGGGGAUAACGUAGCGAAAGUUACGCUAAUACCGCAUAUUCUGUGAGCAGGAAAGCAGGGGAUCGCAAGACCUUGCGCUGAUUGAGCGGCCGAUAUCAGAUUAGCUAGUUGGUGAGGUAAAGGCUCACCAAGGCGACGAUCUGUAGCGGGUCUGAGAGGAUGAUCCGCCACACUGGAACUGAGACACGGUCCAGACUCCUACGGGAGGCAGCAGUGGGGAAUUUUGGACAAUGGGGGCAACCCUGAUCCAGCCAUGCCGCGUGAGUGAAGAAGGCCUUCGGGUUGUAAAGCUCUUUCAGCCGGGAAGAAAUCACAUGGGUUAAUACCCUGUGUGGAUGACGGUACCGGAAUAAGAAGCACCGGCUAACUACGUGCCAGCAGCCGCGGUAAUACGUAGGGUGCGAGCGUUAAUCGGAAUUACUGGGCGUAAAGCGUGCGCAGGCGGUUUGUUAAGAUAGGCGUGAAAUCCCCGGGCUCAACCUGGGAACUGCGUUUAUGACUGGCAGGCUAGAGUAUGGCAGAGGGGGGUGGAAUUCCACGUGUAGCAGUGAAAUGCGUAGAGAUGUGGAGGAACACCGAUGGCGAAGGCAGCCCCUCUGGGCCAAUACUGGCGCUCAUGCACGAAAGCGUGGGUAGCAAAC